rnacentral:rRNA from 1 species
ACGGGAGGCAGCAGUGGGGAAUAUUGCACAAUGGGCGCAAGCCUGAUGCAGCGAUGCCGCGUGAGGGAAGAAGGUUUUCGGAUUGUAAACCUCUGUCAACAGGGACGAUAAUGACUGUACCUGUGAAGGAAGCACCGGCUAAAUACGUGCCAGCAGCCGCGGUAAUACGUAGGGAGCAAGCGUUAUCCGGAAUUACUGGGUGUAAAGGGAGUGUAGGCGGGACUGUAAGUCAGAUGUGAAAUAUGCCGGCUCAACUGGCAGACUGCAUUUGAAACUGCGGUUCUUGAGUGAAGUAGAGGUAAGCGGAAUUCCCGGUGUAGCGGUGAAAUGCGUAGAUAUCGGGAGGAACAUCGGUGGCGAAGGCGGCUUACUGGACGACAACUGACGCUGAGACACGAAAGUGUGGGGAGCAAACAGGAUUAGAUACCCUGGUA